rnacentral:rRNA from 1 species
UACUCCUACGGGAGGCAGCAGGGGGGAAUCUUCCGCAAUGGGCGAAAGCCUGACGGAGCAACGCCGCGUGAGGGAAGAAGGCCUUCGGGUUGUAAACCUCUGUUUUCAGGGAAGAAAAAAAUGACGGUACCUGAAGAGUAAGCUCCGGCUAACUACGUGCCAGCAGCCGCGGUAAUA